rnacentral:misc_RNA from 1 species
CCUCGGGUGGAGUAUGUCACUCAAGCAUGUGGCGUCUUUUGGCGCUGUUGGUGUCUUAUCGGUAGUCGGCGUACUUGGAGGAACGCGAUGGCGCCGCGUCGAGCUGCGCCGCGCGGAGCUAAACGAGGAGUACACGAAGCUCAUGACUGAAAUGCGUACCUUCAACGAGGAGCGUCUCACCCGCGAUGGGCGCCUGGCCGCCAAGGAGGUGGAGGCGAAGGCGACGGCGGAGACGGUGGACAUAUUAUGGAGCGAUCGGCUGGCGCGUUAUGCGGAGGUGAACAAGGACCUGCAUGCCUACCUGGCCGCCUUGCCUGAGGCGAUUGGAGCACUGAAGGGUCUGUCGAACCACUAUCGCUACAUGUCGGAGGAGAUGCCCAAGUUCAUGGGGUUCGACAUCGCGUGCUCCAAGAUGCACAACCUGGCACUGAUGCUGGAGCACGGCAAGGCGGUAGGCAUUGAGCGAGUGGCGGCGGCGGUGCAGGAGAUGUUUGCCGCGGAGCCGCUUGUGCAGACGGUGUGCACGAGCAUCUUGGCAGCCCCGGCUCCGCCGCAUCCCAGUUCGAUCGCUGCGGCCAGCGCCACCUUCACGUUCUGCAUGGAAGAGCUCGACCGCGCCGUGGGGAAGGUUGCUAUGCGGUAUGCGGCAGCACUGGAAGAGCCCCCAAAUGCCACGCCUGGCAUCUUGUCAGACAGUGUCCGGAAGCUUGUCGGCAUGACGCGAGCAGACACGCUCAGCAAGGGGCAGCGCCAGCUUGCGGAGCGCCGAAGGGACUUGGAACGGAUGCUUCGCCGUGCCCAGCGCCAGCUGCACACCGAGGAGGACAUUCGGGCAGCGCUGGAUUACACGAGGGAGCUGGAUCAGCAUCUUCAGGCGGCGGCACCGAAAAGAACCGACUUGUUGCUUUCAUUGCCUUCUAGGAAGGAUAACUUUCUGGCCGCCGUGCGGUCGGACAGUGAGGUGAAAAAGGCCAUCCAGCAGAUCAACCUGUGGCGUGACUCGGCAACCACUUUCCUGGUGCACCGCCAGGCCGAGGACGCGCUGCAGUGCUACUACUUACUCCUGGCCGAGACGCUUACAGCAGUGAAUGAGUUGAAGUAGUGAAAGGGCGGGCAGCCUAACAAAGGCGAUGGAUCACACGCAGGAGAAAGGACGGCGCAUCACCUAAGCCACACAGCAGCGAGCGCAUGCUGAGGGAGGGAGAGACCGAUACGCACAUAGGCCACCCUCGCUGACCACACUGCGACUGUGGCUCUUGCGCUGCGCACGAGUGUAACGCCCAAGAACGGAGCGAUGAUGGUGAGAGUUGGUCGAAUGCAUCGAUUUUUUUUUGGGGGAGGGGGGCAGCGGGCGCACAGAAACCACAAAGCGGAGCGGUGGAUAGAAGCAGCAGCCGUCGACCGCGUCGAGCUUUUUGGCUCGCAUCGGCUGCUGCCCUACGCACGCUUCUCUCGGGGCGACCAACUUCCUCUCGCCUCCUCUCCUACCAGGUCUGAGUUGCCUGAACGGUUUGCCCGCUAUUUUUGCCCGGGUCGCGCUGGCUUUCCUUCUCGACUUAUCCUUUUUUUGUGUUCGAUCGUACUACGUGCCGGAUGAUAAAAAGAGGGGGAGAGGGGAUGCGCACCUCUGAGUAUGACAUCGCAGGGUCCAGCCCCCCAUCGCCCUGUGUGGAGACGCCAAGCAGUCGCCCCCCUCCCCCUAUUCCUGCCCAUGCCGAGCCACUUGUGGGUGGUAGCAGGGCCAAGCACCGACGACGACGCCGGGGAGGCCAGGGCGAUGCACCGCUACUUGUGCCCAGCGGUUAGACCCUGGACGGCGUGGCGUCGGAGCGACCUGCGACAGUGAACACACCCGUGCCAUCCAUGCGAUAGGCCGCGUGCCAGCGCGACUCGGACGCAUGUCACCCUCGGCCUUCGCACCGCCUACUGGUGCGGGGAGAGCCCGCGUGUCACACCCCGAGGGGGUGGGGGGGGUGGGGAAUGCGCCAGGGGUGGCGACCCGCGAGGCGGGGGUUUGUGAGCGGGUAGCGUGUGAGGCCCAGGCCCUGCUCAGGUAACUGAGUCGGCGCGGUGCUGCAACUCGCGUGUGUGUGCGGCCGCUUCGCACGACGCGGAUGGUGGGGGGCCCGUGACGGGCUCUUGUGGUGGAGCGGCGCUCCGCUCAUGCUGUAGGGCAGCGCGUGGAUGCGGUAAGGAGGAGAACACCGACUUGAUGCUGAUUGUCAUUUGCAUAGUCGCGUACAGGGAUGCGCAGUC